rnacentral:rRNA from 1 species
GACGAACGCUGGCGGCGUGCUUAACACAUGCAAUUCGAACGGAAAGGCCCUGCUUUUGUGGGGUGCUCGAGUGGCGAACGGGUGAGUAACACGUGAGUAACCUGCCCUUGACUUUGGGAUAACUUCAGGAAACUGGGGCUAAUACCGGAUAGGAGCUCCUGCUGCAUGGUGGGGGUUGGAAAGUUUCGGCGGUUGGGGAUGGACCCGCGGCUUAUCAGCUUGUUGGUGGGGUAGUGGCUUACCAAGGCUUUGACGGGUAGCCGGCCUGAGAGGGUGACCGGCCACAUUGGGACUGAGAUACGGCCCAGACUCCUACGGGAGGCAGCAGUGGGGAAUAUUGCACAAUGGGCGGAAGCCUGAUGCAGCAACGCCGCGUGCGGGAUGACGGCCUUCGGGUUGUAAACCGCUUUCGCCUGUGACGAAGCGUGAGUGACGGUAAUGGGUAAAGAAGCACCGGCUAACUACGUGCCAGCAGCCGCGGUGAUACGUAAGGUGCGAGCGUUGUCCGGAUUUAUUGGGCGUAAAGGGCUCGUAGGUGGUUGAUCGCGUCGGAAGUGUAAUCUUGGGGCUUAACCCUGAGCGUGCUUUCGAUACGGGUUGACUUGAGGAAGGUAGGGGAGAAUGGAAUUCCUGGUGGAGCGGUGGAAUGCGCAGAUAUCAGGAGGAACACCAGUGGCGAAGGCGGUUCUCUGGGCCUUUCCUGACGCUGAGGAGCGAAAGCGUGGGGAGCGAACAGGCUUAGAUACCCUGGUAGUCCACGCUGUAAACGGUGGGUACUAGGUGUGGGGUCCAUUCCACGGGUUCCGUGCCGUAGCUAACGCUUUAAGUACCCCGCCUGGGGAGUACGGCCGCAAGGCUAAAACUCAAAGGAAUUGACGGGGCCCCGCACAAGCGGCGGAGCAUGCGGAUUAAUUCGAUGCAACGCGUAGAACCUUACCUGGGUUUGACAUGGAUCGGGAGUGCUCAGAGAAGGGUGUGCCUCUUUUGGGGUCGGUUCACAGGUGGUGCAUGGCUGUCGUCAGCUCGUGUCGUGAGAUGUUGGGUUAAGUCCCGCAACGAGCGCAACCCUUGUUCACUGUUGCCAGCACGUUAUGGUGGGGACUCAGUGGAGACCGCCGGGGUCAACUCGGAGGAAGGUGGGGAUGACGUCAAGUCAUCAUGCCCCUUAUGUCCAGGGCUUCACGCAUGCUACAAUGGCUGGUACAGAGAGUGGCGAGCCUGUGAGGGUGAGCGAAUCUCGGGAAGCCGGUCUCAGUUCGGAUUGGGGUCUGCAACUCGACCUCAUGAAGUCGGAGUCGCUAGUAAUCGCAGAUCAGCAACGCUGCGGUGAAUACGUUCCCGGGGCU